AUCUACGGCCAUGCCACCCUGAACAAGUCCGAUCCCAUGUGAUCUCAGAUGCUAAGCAGGGUCAGGCCUGGUUAGUACUUGGAUGGGAGACCACCUAGGAAGACUAGGUGCUGUAGGCA
rfam:Pteropus alecto contig3837, whole genome shotgun sequence.